AAAAGACUGGAAACAAAAGAUGCAUUGUUUAUCGACAUUCUGGUUUGCAAAGAUUUAAACGAACAUGACAUGAAUAUUUAUUUGUCUUGGGUUCACAUGGAAUGGACAGUGAAAUGUUACUUUCACUUAACUGAAACUGUGUGGAAUUUUCUUGAGAUCAAACAACCAGCUUCCAGACACCAUGCUAACAAUUUGUGAAUUUGAUUGGGAUGUCUUAAAAUGUAUUACCAAUGAUG